rnacentral:lncRNA from 1 species
UGGAAAGACAGAGGAAGGAGGCCUCAGGAACCUAUGCAGAAGAGGAGACAUAAAGACUGUAAGAUCCAGAGGUGGUGGAUGACUGCAAGUUCCUUCUAGAUCUUCUGGACCGCUGUACCCAACCUACUUUAUGUUUUUUCUCUCCAUUGGGAAGUUCUUUCAUCACCUCUGAGUUGCUUAUCAGAUUCCUUCGAAUGUUGACUUUGGUCAGAGAGACUUCAUUAUGCAAUGGCAAUUUCAGAGAUGCAUAACUGGUAAGAUUGUUGCAAGUUUAGAAAUAAAUAGGACAUCUGUGUCACUCCCUCCAAGGCCCAGGACUAUCACUGAAGAUCAGAAACAUCCUAAGGAUCAGAAAGAACUGAAGCCAAUAAGAAGGGGGAGAGUACUUCAGAACUCUGUCAUUCAGGUGCUUUCUUUGCAGAGAACUGAUUGAUCCUUUGAAUUUAGAACCCUGGGGCCUGGCAAGGCAGGACCUAUUAAGCCCAGCUGAACAAGCACAUGCUACUAUCAGGUCAUGGCUGGAGGAGCGUUUGCACCAGGCAGUGGGCUGUGUGGUUUGGGAUGAUGCUACCAGGAUGGAAUGCUCUAAUGCUCUGGCAUUAC